rnacentral:snRNA from 1 species
GUGCUCACUUUGGCAGCACAUAUACUAAAAUUGGAACAAUACAGAAAAGAUCAGCAUGGCCCCUGCACAAAGAUAACACACAAAUUUGUGAAGUGUCCCAUAUUUUU